UACGGAGGGAGCUAGCGUUAUUCGGAAUUACUGGGCGUAAAGCGCACGUAGGCGGCUUUGUAAGUUAGAGGUGAAAGCCUGGAGCUCAACUCCAGAAUUGCCUUUAAGACUGCAUCGCUUGAAUCCAGGAGAGGUGAGUGGAAUUCCGAGUGUAGAGGUGAAAUUCGUAGAUAUUCGGAAGAAACACCAGUGGCGAAGGCGGCUCACUGGACUGGUAUUGAC
rnacentral:rRNA from 1 species